rnacentral:rRNA from 1 species
UCGGGAAUUUUGGGCAAUGGGCGCAAGCCUGAUCCAGCCAUGCCGCGUGGAUGAUGAAGGCCUUAGGGUUGUAAAAUCCUUUCGUGGGGGACGAUAAUGACGGUACCCCAAGAAGAAGCUCCGGCUAACUUCGUGCCAGCAGCCGCGGUAAUACGAAGGGGGCUAGCGUUGUUCGGAUUUACUGGGCGUAAAGCGCGUGUAGGCGGGUCGUUAAGUUGGGGGUGAAAUCCCGAGGCUCAACCUCGGAACUGCCUUCAAAACUGGCGACCUGGACCUAAGUAGAGGCAAGUGGAAUUGCGAGUGUAGAGGCGAAAUUCGUAGAUAUUCGCAGGAACACCAGUGGCGAAGGCGACUUGCUGGACUUAUGGUGACGCUGAGACGCGAAAGCGUGGGGAGCAAACAGGAUUAGAUACCCCCGUAGUCCCUGAGCGGGCUGGCAAGGCG